rnacentral:rRNA from 1 species
CCUACGGGAGGCAGCAGUGAGGAAUAUUGGUCAAUGGACGAGAGUCUGAACCAGCCAAGUAGCGUGAAGGAUGACUGCCCUAUGGGUUGUAAACUUCUUUUAUCAAGGAACAAAACGAGGCACGUGUGCCUUUUUGCAUGUACUUUAUGAAUAAGGAUCGGCUAACUCCGUGCCAGCAGCCGCGGUAAUACGGAGGAUCCGAGCGUUAUCCGGAUUUAUUGGGUUUAAAGGGAGCGUAGAUGGGGUGUUAAGUCAGUUGUUAAAGUUUGCGGCUCAACCGUAAAAUUGCAAUUGAUACGGGCAGUCUUGAGUACAGUUGAGGUAGGCGGAAUUCGUGGUGUAGCGGUGAAAUGCUUAGAUAUCGCGAAGAACCCCGAUUGCGAAGGCAGGUUACUAAACUGUGACUGACAUUGAUGCUCGAAAGUGUGGGUAUCAAACAGGAUUAGAUACCCUUGUAGUC